GGCCCGAGCGCCCGCCGGGCGCGCAGCAGGCGCCGUGCCGCGGCGGCGGCGGGGAGCGGGUGCGCCGCCCCGGGCCCGCCUGGCCCCGGCGGCGCUGGGCAGCGGUGCGUCCUCUGCGGCGCCGCUUGCGAGCGUCGCCCUGGGCCUCUGCCGGGCGCAGCCUGCCGUCGCCUUCGCCGCGAGGUCAGGGCACCCGGGGCUGCGUAGCCUGGCUUGGGGUCCGGAUCCUGCCUGUGCGCGUUACUGGUGCUGGCUGGGGAGUCACGCCGGGUUUGCGGUGCGUGUGUGCGCUCUGCGGGACAGCUCCUUACGGCGGGUGGAGCGUGGGAGACGGAGCAGCUUAGCGGUGGAAGGAAAAACUGAGAUUAAGUUGCAGAACCAGAAUGGUACCUGUGAAGAUAUGAAAAAGACACUGCCAAUUUGGAAGAAAGGAAUUGCAUAUGUAGUAUGACUUUAGUUUUAAUUAAGUGAUAAUCUAUUUAAUGUCAUAUGAAGUGUUAAACACUUUAACAGGUGAAUUGAAGCUAAUGACCGUGCUGUUUUGAGAAGCGUGAAGUGAUAUACUUUAGCAGAGCAUGUUAUGUAUGAUUACAGGUUGCAGAAGAAUACCAGUGUGUUUGAGAAAUUGUGCGUGGCCACAUAUAAUCAAGAAAAGGUUGUGAUCAUUUGAAGAGAAGGCCAAGUGUGUAUUUUAGAGGGAGGCUGAGGUCUCAUUUCCACAUUCUUCAGUGUAUUAAUGCGUGACUUUGUAAGUUAUUAAGCUGCUGAACCACUUUCCCUGCUGUGAUAAUGUUUACCUUCUUCAAGAUCUGCAAAGGAGAUGGGCAAUGUAGUUCUUAAGUUAGUAUUUUUAAUAAUGCUUCAUUAUAUCUGCCAUGCUGAAGAUUAAAAUAACCACUGCACGUACAGUUCUUGAUAUUUGCUUGUUUUCUGUGUUUAGCAUAUUCUUGUGUGUGACUUUAUGUGUUCCCUUUUGCAUCUUGACAGCAGUUUAUAUAGUUUACUUUGCUAAUAAAAUAUUUUGAAUGAA